rnacentral:lncRNA from 1 species
CAAUCUUGUUUUUUCAACAUGAACCAUCUUAUAUUUUUGCCCAUGCUCUCUGACCAUUGAGUCUAAAAACAUACGGUAGUAUCUUAACAAGAUAAAUCUUUACAACAACAACAACUAAGCCUUUAACAAGAUAAAUCUUUCUGUGAUUAAAAAUUCCAGCUUACUCCUUUGAACGAUCUGAGAAAUAUAUUUGGACUGGGGAAGCGUGAAGCAGAA